GGACGGAGCGGGCCGGGAGGGGCUCCCGCAGAGCAGCCCCCGGUGGCAGGAGGAGAGGAGCCAUGUCCUCGCCGUGCCGCUAUUUAUAGCUGCUCGCUCCGAUGCUCGCCAUUCCUUUGGCACCGGGAAUGUGAACUGUGCAUAAACAACCGCCCUGUCAUGAACUCCCGAGGCCUGGAUUCUGACGCAUGGACGAGAGAUCUUGGUGGAUUAUCGUGUUGGCGUUCUCUGCUGUGGGAGGAAAGUCCACCAGCACCUUUUGCUGUUGGGUCAGCUUCCUAACUGAAACCUUGUGUCAUUUCUUCCCAGCAACGAGCCAUUUGUCAGGAACAGCAGAACAUUUUCCACUGCAAACUCAAACUGAUCCCUUGGCUGAUGCACCCGUGUUUUAAUGGUUCUGUGAAGAGUUAUAGCAACAGUGGUUCCCUCAUUUUUGGUUUAUUUUUCUCCCAUGAUGACAUCAUCAAGCGCCACAGGAAAGAGCAAACAGAUUCCAGCACCUCGGGCGACAGCAGGAGCCAGCAGGUCAAGAACAGGAGUUCAGCCUUCGGGUACGGGCGGCCCCGUUACGGUGCCUGGAAGCAGAGGAAUUUGCAAGGACCUAACCGUUUCAGAAGAGGGUUUGGACAGCAACAAUACAAUAGGAGACAAUUCAGGAAUACUUUGCCUGGUCGCAAGAGAAGAGCAGCUGCUGCCUUCAAUGGAGUGAGCCCUUUAAAUCGCCAGGCAUCAGCUCAGGAGGGCAACAAGAACAGCAAUGCUUUUGCCAAAAGCAGCAGCAGGCAGCAGAAGGACCAGGCACAGCCAUCUCCAGGCCCCAAGAGAUUCAGAGCAGAUGCUGCCAGCACCCAGACCCCAGGGAAAAGGCCUUUCCGGCUAAACAGGGGACCAGCGUUCCAGCAGAAGCGGGCGCAGCAGUGGUUCUCCAAAGCCCGCUUCCAGAGAGGGCAGAUGGAUGCUCAAGGAGAAGGGAAACCGCCAAGGAUGAGAAGGUGGCAAGUGAAACCCAGCCCGGGAGCAAUUCUGACGGUUUCUGUGGUUAAUCCCCAGGCGGGCCAGAGCAGCGGGCCUGGAUCCAAGCGCCCGUUCCUGCGAAGCCAGAGACCCCCAGCACGGGUGACCAAGCCCCAGCCCAAGGGGGUGAUGCUGAGAUUCAACUUCCGUGCCAUGGCCAACCAGACCAGCCUGACGCUGGAUGAGAGGUUCUCUGGUCUGAGGAAUAAGAGGCGCUUUACAGCAGCCAGGAGCGCCGGACGGACGGUCACCAUGCCCUAGGACAGCGUGCUCGCCACAGGGACUGCCCCCAACAGUCCAGGCCCUGGCAGGGGCUCAAUAAAAGUUGCUAGAUUCCCUUUGAGAUAGCUGAU
rnacentral:lncRNA from 1 species